rnacentral:lncRNA from 1 species
UUUAUAAAAUUAUUGUAAUCACUGGUAAAUGAAAAACUAAAGCAAACAAAGGAUUUUCCUUUCAUAGAAAUCACAGCCUAUAGUUACAGAAUUAUUUUUGAGGUUUGCAAACUGCCCAGCGAUACCUUGACUUCUGUUCUACUGAAGUCAAUAUGAUCCAACAAUUCAGUUCAUUCUUAAUGGAGAUUUAAAAGAAGGACAUCAAACAGAAGUAAUAAAUCCAUUAAGAUCUCCAACGCUUUCUGCAGCCACCUGAUUAUCUCUGUUCUGACCCAUAGGUCAAGACUGGGAUCAAGCUUCUGUUCAGAUCAGCACACUCAUCAGAAUCCAAGCUGCUAAACGAGGUUUAGGCACUUUAUCAGCUUCAUUAUACCCAAUGGCCAGCAUCAAACCUUUUAGGUUCUAAGGAACUGAUUUGCAGAAGAACCAGGGUCUGUAGAAAGGAAAGAUCCCACAUCUGCCCUACUCCUAUCAGGACUGCACAAACUACAAGAGAUUCUGCCAUGAUGCCAUCCAUUUCAUAG